UACAGAGGUGGCAAGCGUUGUUCGGAAUUACUGGGCGUAAAGGGCGCGUAGGCGGCCAUCUAAGUCAGACGUGAAAUCCCCCGGCUUAACCUGGGAACUGCGUCUGAUACUGGAAGGCUCGAGUUUGGGAGAGGGAUGUAGAAUUCCAGGUGUAGCGGUGAAAUGCGUAGAUAUCUGGAGGAAUACCGGUGGCGAAGGCGGCAUCCUGGACCAACACUGACGCUGAGGCGCGAAAGCUAGGGGAGCAAACGGG
rnacentral:rRNA from 1 species